rnacentral:rRNA from 1 species
UAGGGAAUCUUCCACAAUGGGCGAAAGCCUGAUGGAGCAACGCCGCGUGUGUGAUGAAGGGUUUCGGCUCGUAAACACUGUUGUAAGAGAAGAAUGACAUUGAGAGUAACUGUUCAAUGUGUGACGGUAUCUUACCAGAAAGGAACGGCUAAAUACUUGCCAC